ACACUGACGUCGCGACGCAUAUCAAUAAGCGGAGGAAAAGAAACUAACUAGGAUUCCCUCAGUAACGGCGAGUGAAGCGGGAAGAGCUCAAAUUUGAAAUCUUCAAGGUUCUACCUUGACGAAUUGUAGUUUAAAGAAGUGUUUUCUGUUAGAUGAGUAGCAAAAGUUCCUUGGAAUGGGACAUCAUAGAGGGUGAGAAUCCCGUAUUUGGUUAUUCAUUCUAGCUUUGUGAUACACUUUCAAAGAGUCGGAUUGUUUGGGAAUGCAGUCCAAAAUGGGUGGUAAAUUUCAUCUAAAGCUAAAUAUUGGCGAGAGACCGAUAGCGAACAAGUACCGUGAGGGAAAGAUGAAAAGAACUUUGAAAAGAGAGUUAAACAGUACGUGAAAUUGUCAAAAGGGAAGCGUUUGACACCAGUGUUGUUUCUCCGAAAAUCAAUUAUAAAUGUUUUGUUUCUGAGGAGUGAUGACUUCAUCGGCUUCCUUCUCUCUUCACGAAACUUUUGUAAUGCACUUUUCGGUUAACAAGUCAACAUCAAUUUCUUUUGUUGUAAAAGAGUAUUCGGAAGGUGGCUUUCUUUUCGGAGAAAGUGUUUAUAGCCCUAUACUUCUACAAUCGGAGAGAUUGAGGUCUGCAGCGUAGAUCCUUCGGGGUUAGAUACACUUGUGCUAAGUUAUAGCUUUUCAUAGACAACUUGUUGACUAUGUUUAGUCUUGUCGCUUACUCGCUUGUGCUAUUUUACCUACGCUUAGGAUGUUGAGUCGUAGAGCACGCAG
rnacentral:rRNA from 1 species